rnacentral:sRNA from 1 species
UGGCACCAACUCGGGAACUGGCCCAACAGGUGCAGCAAGUAGCUGCUGAAUAUUGUAGAGCAUGUCGCUUGAAGUCUACUUGUAUCUAUGGUGGUGCUCCUAAGGGACCACAAAUACGUGAUUUGGAGAGAGGUAUGUAACGAAAAGGGUUUUAUUUGUCAUUGGUGCUAAAUAUCCUAGGUAUUGUAGUUACGCUUACGUGUUUAAUUAAAGGUGUGGAAAUCUGUAUUGCAACACCUGGAAGACUGAUUGACUUUUUAGAGUGUGGGAAAACCAAUCUGAGAAGAACAACCUACCUUGUCCUUGAUGAAGCAGAUAGAAUGCUUGAUAUGGGCUUUGAACCCCAAAUAAGGAAGAUUGUGGAUCAAAUAAGACCUGAUAGGCAAACUCUAAUGUGGAGUGCGACUUGGCCAAAAGAAGUAAGACAGCUUGCUGAAGAUUUCCUGAAAGACUAUAUUCAUAUAAACAUUGGUGCACUUGAACUGAGUGCAAACCACAACAUUCUUCAGAUUGUGGAUGUGUGUCAUGAUGUAGAAAAGGAUGAAAAGUAAGUUUUAUUAACUCUGUUAUAUU